UCCCCGGUAGCUCAGCGGUAGAGCAACCGGCUGUUAACCGGUUGGUCGCUGGUUCGAAUCCGGCCCGGGGGG
rnacentral:tRNA from 1 species